rnacentral:rRNA from 1 species
GACGAACGCUGGCGGCGUGCCUAACACAUGCAAGUGGAGCGACGAACCAGACUUCGGUCUGGGGCCAAGCCGCGAACGAGUGAGUAACACGUGGGUAACCUGCCCCGAUGAUCGGGACAACCCGGGGAAACCCGGGCUAAUACCGAAUGUGGUCGCAGUCCGUGAGGACGGUGACGAAAGGAAGCUUCGGCCUCCGCAUCGGGAUGGGCCCGCGGCCCAUUAGCUUGUUGGUGGGGUAAUGGCCUACCAAGGCAUCGAUGGGUAGCUGGUCUGAGAGGACGAUCAGCCACACUGGGACUGAGACACGGCCCAGACUCCUACGGGAGGCAGCAGUGGGGAAUCUUGCGCAAUGCGCGAAAGCGUGACGCAGCAACGCCGCGUGGGGGAGGAAGGCUUUCGGGUCGUAAACCCCUUUCAGUUGGGACGAAGCUUCGCCGGUGAAUAGCCGGCCGGAGUGACGGUACCUUCACAAGAAGCCCCGGCUAACUACGUGCCAGCCGCGCCGUAACAC